rnacentral:snRNA from 1 species
CACACGCUUUAGGAAACAUCCUG